rnacentral:tmRNA from 1 species
GGGGUCGUUACGGAUUCGACAGGUAUAGGUCGAGCAUUCAUCGCAUUUCGUAGGUUACGGCUACGUAAAAACGUUACAGUUAAAUAUAACUGACAAAAAACAAACAAACACUUUAGCUUUCGCAGCUUAAUACCUGCUAGCUAAGAUCCGCUCGGCAUCGCCCAUGUGCUCGAAUCCGGGUCUCACUUUCAGUGGGCUACGGUUAACUUUUCCGUCUGUCUAAGUUAAACAGAGAUAACCAGACUAGCUAAAUAUGACGCUUGUUUAUCAGCUAAUAUGCAGCGAACCUCCAAAUAGAUAAACUAUGAAUGUAGAAGUGGAUGUAUCGUUAUGCUUGGACAGGGGUUCAACUCCCCUCGGCUCCAUAA